UCAGAGGAAACUUCUUAAGCUCAAUUUUUCAGAUAGCAUCUCCUUUCAAAUAUGAUAAAGCUUUGUCAAAGUACAAUACAAACAGAAAAGGGUUCCCUAAAAUAUUAAGCAGAAUAAAUAGAUAGACGCUUUAACUUUGAAAAUGCACCUCUAGACACCUUAACUUGGUUUAAGUUGGCCCCGUAAACACCCCAACUUUGAGAAUGCACGUCCGGAAAAAUGUCUAGUUGUGCAUUUUCAAAGUUGGGUUGUUUAAAUGCCGGUUGAGGCCAAGUUAAAGUGUCUAUCUAUGUAUUAUGA